UCUUCCUGGUCUGCUCCUGAGAGAGCCCCGGUCAGCUCAGACACUUCUACCCUGAACUCCCCUCAGCGCAGGCCCCUGAGAGGACGCCCGGAGUCCCUGGUCGCAGGAAGCGGUGUAAUUGUAGAUACCACUACAUGUUUCAGGGGCCAAAGAAAAUGAAUACAACACCAAUUCCAAAAUCAUCCGCAUCUUAUAUAAGAGGCAUAGAAGACACACACAGAGAAAUGCACUCCUAGUCUUUUUGUGACAGAACUGGCAUGAUGAACCAAAAAAAAAAAUGUGCUGUUGCAGAUGUUGGUGUCAUUUGAAGACCUGGCUGUGGACAUCACUCAGGAGGAGUGACAGUACCUGGACAGUUCUCAGAGGACCCUGUACAAAGAUAUGAUGAUGGAGACCUACAAUAGCCUGUUGUUUUUGGGGUACUGCAAAAGCAAACCUGAGGUGAUCUUCAAGUUGGAACAGGGGACAGAGCCAUGGACAGUGACAAAACUCCCUAAAUUGGAGCCUGUCAGCCCACAGAAGGGAUGACCUAUUGGGAACCAACUGGAAAAGUCAACAAAUAAAUUUGAGG